rnacentral:rRNA from 1 species
UGGGGAAUUUUGGACAAUGGGGGCAACCCUGAUCCAGCAAUGCCGCGUGUGUGAAGAAGGCCUUCGGGUUGUAAAGCACUUUUGUCCGGAAAGAAAACGCCGUGGUUAAUACCCGUGGCGGAUGACGGUACCGGAAGAAUAAGCACCGGCUAACUACGUGCCAGCAGCCGCGGUAAUACGUAGGGUGCAAGCGUUAAUCGGAAUUACUGGGCGUAAAGCGUGCGCAGGCGGUCCGCUAAGACAGAUGUGAAAUCCCCGGGCUUAACCUGGGAACUGCAUUUGUGACUGGCGGGCUAGAGUAUGGCAGAGGGGGGUAGAAUUCCACGUGUAGCAGUGAAAUGCGUAGAGAUGUGGAGGAAUACCGAUGGCGAAGGCAGCCCCCUGGGCCAAUACUGACGCUCAUGCACGAAAGCGUGGGGAGCAAACAGGAUUAGAUACCCUGGUAGUCACGCCCUAAACGAUGUCAACUAGUUGCUCGGUCUUCAUUGACUUGGUAACGUAGCUAACGCGUGAAGUUGACCGCCUGGGGAGUACGGUCGCAGAUUAAACUCAAUGAAUUGACGGGUCUAGCUGUUUCC